rnacentral:rRNA from 1 species
UACGUAGGGUCCGAGCGUUGUCCGGAAUUAUUGGGCGUAAAGGGCGCGUAGGCGGCCAUCUAAGUCAGACGUGAAAUCCCCCGGCUUAACCUGGGAACUGCGUCUGAUACUGGAAGGCUUGAGUAUGGGAGAGGGAUGUAGAAUUCCAGGUGUAGCGGUGAAAUGCGUAGAUAUCUGGAGGAAUACCGGUGGCGAAGGCGGCAUCCUGGACCAUUACUGACGCUGAGACACGAAAGCGUGGGUAGCAAACAGG